UCAAUGUUAAGGAAACAAAAUUCAUUUCAUAAUUGAACAUUUGGUCGUGGAAAGAGUACCAAUUCGGCCCUUCGGCGCUCUCUAUAACUGAACUAUAUUUUGUACAAUCAUCUCCAUCAAACCGUUAAAAUGAGAAUUUUCUUUCUAUUCGCUUUGCUGUUGACUUUGUAUCCCGAUUGGACUCCGUUUGCUGAUGCGGCCAAGUGUAAUUCAAUCGGAUUUGGAGGAUGCAGCGACGGUGGAUGUUAUAGCUCGGGUGGAUAUUGUGUCAACUAUGGAUUUCCACCGUUUAACGAUUGUCGUUGCUUGAGCCGUAAUCAAUGUUAUGCAUAAAAUAAGAGAAAAUCGGAAAACAAUAAAAGAAAAAUUGUUUCAAUUUGA